rnacentral:rRNA from 1 species
AACGAACGCUGGCGGCAUGCCUAACACAUGCAAGUCGAACGAGACCUUCGGGUCUAGUGGCGCACGGGUGCGUAACGCGUGGGAACCUGCCCUUAGGUUCGGUAUAACUCCCCGAAAGGGGUGCUAAUACCGGAUAAUGUCUUCGGACCAAAGAUUUAUCGCCUUUGGAUGGGCCCGCGUUGGAUUAGCUAGUUGGUAGGGUAAAAGCCUACCAAGGCGACGAUCCAUAGCUGGUCUGAGAGGAUGAUCAGCCACACUGGGACUGAGACACGGCCCAGACUCCUACGGGAGGCAGCAGUGGGGAAUAUUGGACGAUGGGCGAAAGCCUGAUCCAGCAAUGCCGCGUGAGUGAUGAAGGCCUUAGGGUUGUAAAGCUCUUUUACCCGGGAUGAUAAUGACAGUACCGGGAGAAUAAGCUCCGGCUAACUCCGUG